UCCUUUAGACAACGUUCUUGGCAAAAUAAGGGCCCUGAACAUAAUGUUUCUGUUUUUGGUUCCGUUGUUUGCUGGAAUUGUCACCAGUCUAAUCACAAGUUCAAUGAUUGUGGUAUCCCUCAAACUCGUAUUUUCUGCCACGGUUGCGGUAGGGAAAAUACUCUCAAAAGAAAUUGUUUUAAGUGUUCGGGAAACGAAAUGUCGGAGGUCCGUCCCCUGAGCGUUUCUCCGUCCAACACCCAAUCAGGGAAUCAAACCCCAUCAGAAAACGAGACUGCUGGCCCAAGCACACCCAGCAACUCAAACCCAUCUUCCAGUCGGAAAGGGAAGAGAGCAUCGUUCAGGAAACAAUCACACACCACAAA
rnacentral:lncRNA from 1 species